rnacentral:rRNA from 1 species
UACGGGGGGGGCAAGCGUUGUUCGGAAUUACUGGGCGUAAAGGGCUUGUAGGUGGCCAACUAAGUCAGACGUGAAAUCCCUCGGCUUAACCGGGGAACUGCGUCUGAUACUGGAUGGCUUGAGUGUGGGAGAGGGAUGCGGAAUUCCAGGUGUAGCGGUGAAAUGCGUAGAUAUCUGGAGGAACACCGGUGGCGAAGGCGGCAUCCUGGACCAUUACUGACACUGAGAAGCGAAAGCCAAGGGGAGCAAACGGG